rnacentral:rRNA from 1 species
UACGUAGGGUGCAAGCGUUGUCCGGAAUUAUUGGGCGUAAAGAGCUCGUAGGCGGUCUGUCGCGUCGGCUGUGAAAACCCGGGGCUCAACCCCGGGCCUGCAGUCGAUACGGGCAGACUAGAGUGCGGUAGGGGGAGACUGGAAUUCCUGGUGUAGCGGUGGAAUGCGCAGAUAUCAGGAGGAACACCGGUGGCGAAGGCGGGUCUCUGGGCAGUAACUGACGUGAGGAGCGAAAGCGUGGGGAGCGAACAGG